rnacentral:lncRNA from 1 species
GUCCUGGCAAUAUCACAAGAACCAUUACUGAUGAAUGGUGAAAGUGAAAAUCGUCAAUAUCAAAUUUGACCUCCAUUUUGUCAUCAGUAUCAACAUAUUAAAAUUUGAAAAGCUUAGAUUGAAUGGUUCAUGAGCAAAUGCAACAACGUGAAUGGAAAGGCCAUUUUACAAUCUUUCAAGAACCAUAACGCCUGAACGGUAAAAGUCAAAAUCGUCAUUAUUGAACUUGACCUCUAUUUUGUCAUCAGUAACAACAUAUAAAAAUUUCAAAAGCUUUGGUUGAAUGGUUCAUGAGAAAAUGCACGGACACGACUGGAAACACCAUUUUUCAAUCUUUCAAGAACCAUAACUCCUGAACGGUGAAAGUCAAAAUCGUCAUUAUUAACUUGACCUCUAUUUUGUCAUCAGUCACAACAUAUUAAAAUUUGGGAAGCUUUGGUAGAACAGUUAAUGCGUAAAUGCACGGACACAACUGGAAACUCCAUUUUUCAAUCUUUCAAGAACCAUAACUCCUGAACGGUAAAGGUCAAAAUCGUCAUUAUUGAACUUGACCUCCAUUUUGUCAUCAGUAACAACAUAUUAAAAUUUGGGAAGCUUUGGUAGAACAGUUCAUGCGUAAAUGCACGGACACGACUGAAAACUCUAUUUUUCAAUCUUUCAAGAACCAUAACUCCUGAACGGUAAAAGUCAAAAUCGUCAUUAUUGAACUUGACCUUCAUUUAGUUGUCAGUAACAACAUAUUAAAAUUUUAAAAGCUUUGGCUGAACGGUUCAUGAAUUAAUGCACGGACAACAUUUGAUUGCCGC